GGUUGCGAUCAUACCAGCACUAAUGCACCGGAUCCCAUCAGAACUCUACAGUUAAGCGUGCUUGGGCGAGAGUAGUACUAGGAUGGGUGACCCCCUGGGAAGUCCUCGUGUUGCAACCC
rnacentral:rRNA from 1 species